rnacentral:sRNA from 1 species
UCAUAUGAUGAAAAAAUGACAAUAACAAACCGCCGACCAUCUCAAAAAUCCAUAAAACGAAACACAGAUUGUAUUUGCUGACAAGGUCGUUGUAUUGACCAUAGAACUUACGAAAAGAUGACUUUGAACGAUUCUAUUGAUAGUCCUGUUGUAUCAACUUGUGUCAGUAGCUUGCCUCGCCUUAAAAACUGUUCAUACGAAGAUCAUGCCCUUGCGUAUCGAAUUAACUGAGACAAAAACACCAUAUACAGGUGAUGAAGGUAUAUUGCUACAUUAGUCGGGAAAGUUGACUAUAGAAAUAUUGAAGUCAUCUCGUUUAUCAUAAAGUUUUGUUGUUAGGUUACCAUCAAUGUCCAUUUCCUGUAAAAUAUCCAAAUAUGAAACAGAUGACGCAGACUCUGUGGUAUCUUAUUUUAAGUUCACUUGGAUAUAUAGAGUCGACGUAAAAAUGGAAAUAACAAUUGUUAAUUGAUAAUCCGUCGUCGAUACACCUGAAUGUUGAAUUAAAGGCCACAGCGAAUGAUUUAUUUUUUUCACAUACAAGUUUUUGAAUAAAUUCUGCUUCAUAAGAAUACAAAAUAAAGUCUGUUAACAAUGGGGCACAACUGGUGCCCAUGGGAAUUCCAACAGAUUAUUGGAAGAAUUUAUUUCCAAAAACUGCAUAGAUAACUGUUGUCUAUCAGAAACUCAAGCAUCUUUUUAAUGUCACGUACUUAAUAAAGACAUUCUUCCGAAGCAAACAGUUAAGAUCAGAUGGGUGAAGAAACAGGACUAAAGAUAGGAUGCUCAAAUUUAUAUUAUUAAAUCAAGGUUGUUUAUGCUUAAUAUUAUCUAUAUCUAUUAGGAGACAUAUACAAUUCUUUAACUACUAGUAAUACCAAUAAAUAGAACUUGGUUAUUAUAGAGAAGCAAUUAGAAUUGUUAAUACUGUGUCUUUAAAUGGAUGGAGUCUUUGUGGCAUUUAAAAAAAAUAGUGACAACAGACGUAAAAAAAAACCAACACC